UUUUCAAUCCCCAAUAAAUUAUCAUAUGGCUCCUCCACUUCUUAUUCUUCCUAUUACCAAUCUCCCUUCACCUGUCGAUUGGGCUACAUAUCUCAACCGAUUGGCUUGCGUCCAUGGCUAGAACUACAAGGUGUCACAUCCCAUGGGGAUUUAGUUGGCGGCAAGGAUCCAUGGUGGUGUUGGACUGGUGGCAAAGGUAGCCGAUUCACUAGGCAUUGCUGUCGUCCGUUUCGUCGACAUCACCGAGCAAUCCACACCCUCGACGGCGCCACUAUUGCACAACCGUUGAUGGGGCCAGUUCGUCUACAAGCGGAGGUAUAGAUCGAUGGGCGCCCUCUACUGGCACAACCAUAGCAUGCAUCGUCCAUGGUGUCGGGCAGCCUACAAUCUCUGCUGCAGAUCAAUAGUUCAUAGUUGUAGCGGCAGGAAAGGCAAGUAGAAGGUGCUUCUUUUUUACUUUCGGUCGUCCACUUCCUUCAGUUAUUUGUUGGGCCUCCUCUCCCCCAAUUAAUCCUGCUUAGAACAUUUUUGUGACUUAAUUUAAGAUCUCGGAAUCUUCUAUUCUAUUGUUAUUAUGUAAAUUCUGGGUGGGCAAAUUAAUUUCAGUUCCUAAUGUUGUCGAGUACUAUCAGUGGCAAAUCUGUUUUCUGUCCUUGAAAAAUUCUAAUGGCGUGUUUAUGGACCAGGCUCUGAUCGUCGUUCAUGCCUUUCAAAAAAAUGUUGUCUAAUUUUUGGGCCAGGCUUGGUUCGUUCAUUGGUUUUUUUUUCUGUUCUUGUUUGCAGCCCACGCCUUCAUGUUAUGGUGUGCCACACUUCCCUCAAGUGCUUCUCCAUGGAAUCUGCAGGCAGAGAUCUGGAGGAAGGUGCAGUAGUGAGCUGCACCUCUUUGUAUUCUCUCACCCGUUUUCUUCCUCUGCCCCUGUCUCCACAUCUUUUUCCAGGAGGGUGAAGGAUCAUGGCAGUUGGCAUUUAUUGGGUUGGUUUAGUGUGACGCCCGGAUAAUUAGGCUACAGUAAUCCCAUGUUAACGAUGCC
rnacentral:rRNA from 1 species